GGGUAGAGUAAUGCAUCGGAACGUGUCCAUGUCGUGGGGGAGUAGCCCGGCGAAAGCCGGAUUAAUACCGCAUACGCCCGAGAGGGGAAAGUGGGGGACCGCAAGGCCUCACGCGAUUGGUUCGGCCGAUGUCCGAUUAGCUAGUUGGCGGGGUAAAGGGCCCACCAAGGCGAUGAUCGGUAGCUGGUCUGAGAGGAUGAUCAGCCACACUGGGACUGAGACACGGCCCAG
rnacentral:rRNA from 1 species